GGGACGAGCCACGUGGGUGAUCCGCAUUCGUGCGAUCGGACGGCCCAGAUCCGUUCCCGCGCGCACGGACGGCCCAGAUUGGAUUGCGAUGGACGGCCCAGAUUUAAUCUCAAUUAAAUCGCGAUCGAACAGUUCAGAUUUAAUCUUGAUGGACGGUUGAGAUUAAAAGGCAAAGGGUAUAAAUAACCCCACCCACACCUGACCACAAAACCCUAGCCGCUAGUGCCUCGCCGGAGAAGAAGAACC
rnacentral:lncRNA from 1 species